rnacentral:lncRNA from 1 species
GUAAACGGCAACACUUGGGUUAUUUCUUGAAAACCAGAGGCUGAUACUUGGUACUUAAUAAAUUUGUAAGUAGAUCAUGUGGGUUUUUCUUUUUAAGCUGGGUUUGUUUAGAAAUGUUGAUCUUUUCGUUGACUUUUUUCUUUUUCUUUUUGGGUUUUUUUAGUGACAUAGCUUCGGGUUUUUUAAAGAAUAUUUUUAAGUGUUUAUCCUUGACGAGUUUUCGAAUUUGAUGAUGAAAAUAUAAGCUUUUAACAGAAUGCGAUCAUGUAAAUAGCUGAAACAUGUCCAUCUUUGAUCUUUUGUUGCAUGAAUGAGUAUAGGUAUGGAAUGGCUUUUGAGUUUUGAAAUAGUAGAAUUUCAUCAUUCUUGAUAUGUAUAAGUUUGAAUGAUGUUUUUCAAAUCAUUAUAUAUAUAUAUCCAUGAAAGUUGUGUAAGCUUUGUUAUUGGAAAGGGCAGAGUUUUCAAAACAAAAAUUAAAUCGAGCUGAUUCUCAAUCUCCUUUGUGUAAGAUGCCUCUAUAUAUUUUUACUCCAUAAGACACCCUUGUAUACGUAAUGUAUAUCCAGACUCUAAAGAAUAGAAAACUGUUUCUCAAAGUGGUAAAAAUGUCAAUCCCAGGCUAUAUUAUCAAGACUCUUCGUUCUUGUUUCUGAAGCUAUUUGUGUCUACACUUAGAUUUAUGAUCCUCAAUAAAAAUCAUAGAGAAAUUAAGCAUACAAGUAAUCAUAGCCGUACCCAAUAUGCACUCCAGGUCAAAUAUACAAUUGAAUUCAUUCUCUUGUUUCGUUUCCAUUGUAUCGUGUGACUUCACUGUGCUGCUUUCAGUAUAGGUUUUACAUUAAUUUAUGGAAAUAUAUAUAUGUGUGGGUAGGUGGGAUUGUGUGUGUUUUACUAUUAGAUAUUUAUUCAUAUGUGCAAAGGCUUGGACUGCUGGCUUGCUUCUCUGUUUUGUGGUGUUCAUGUAUGUGUUUAUGUGUUAUAAAACUGUUAGGUGAUAUUCCUUUUCAGCACUUAAACUGAAGCAAGAAGUUCAUUGCUGUAAGCUUUUCAUCGACAGACUGACCGGUAUGCUCCUUUCCUGUGUGUUCCUGUGUCUUAACCAUGCUGCAGAAUGCAGCUGUGGGUUCACUUGAUUCAAUCUUGCAUCUCGAUGAACUUAACGAAACCAUUGGUCUUGAAAUUCCCUACCAUUUCGUCAUGUAAACCACCUCCAAUCUCUAUUGUAACUGGAUUUUGUAAUCGAGUUGUAUCAAGUUUCAUCGGUGAGAUUUCAUGUUAUGGUAAGCUCCUUUCCCUACCUCCUUUUAUUUGAUCACCAUAUUCAUUCCAACAUUGAG